GACGAACGCUGGCGGCGUGCUUAACACAUGCAAGUCGAACGGAAAGGCCCUGCUUUUGUGGGGUGCUCGAGUGGCGAACGGGUGAGUAACACGUGGGUAACCUGCCCUUGACUUUGGGAUAACUUCAGGAAACUGGGGCUAAUACCGGAUAGGAGCUCCUGCUGCAUGGUGGGGGUUGGAAAGUUUCGGCGGUUGGGGAUGGACUCGCGGCUUAUCAGCUUGUUGGUGGGGUAGUGGCUUACCAAGGCUUUGACGGGUAGCCGGGCUGAGAGGGUGACCGGCGACGUUGGCAGUGGGAUGCGGCCCACAGGCCGGGGGGGGCGGGGCGGGAGGAGACUGGAGAGAGGGUGGGGGGCCGGAGCCAGCUACGCCGAGUGGGGAUCUAGGGCCGGCGGUGUGUGACCCGGUGUCGAGUGCGAGGAGGGGAGAGGGGUGGUGAUGGGAAAAGAAGCCCGGUAUCACUGCGCGCCCGCAGCCGCGGUAAAAAUAGGACGAGCAGACGUCUGAAC
rnacentral:rRNA from 1 species